AAAGCACAAGAAACACAAUUUCAUUAUUUUCUCUCUCCUCUUUAUUUAAUUCCCUAUUUCUCUCAGCUCCAUAAUCGCCUUUGUCUCCGUCUCCUCGGUGUCUCCGCUUGUAGUCUCCGCCGGUCUCUCCAUCAUCAUCUUCGCCGGCCUCUCUGUCGUUGUUUAAAGGCUUUAAUAAUCUAAAUUUAAAGAAAUGCAUUAUCUGGUAAAUUAAUCGAUUCCCUUAAUCUGGAUUUGGUGAUCUUUUGAUGUCGUGAAAGAUUUCCAUCGCUAUUAGCGGUGGUUGGAUGCAGCGGCGACUGUACUCUGAUGUUCCAUUCUUUUAUGACAAAUUUAGUGCCAUGGGGCGCUUUCCAUCUGGAUUUCUCGAGCAACUCCGACCCAGAGUCAGGGCGUUUCCGUAUGGCAGAUGGGAAGAAAUGGCGGUGCCGAUAUAGGAAAAAUUACAUCGAGGAAAGCAACGAGAAACAAUUUCGCAGCGGCGGUGGUCGGCAUAGAUGUAAUUGACUUUUUUUUCGAGAAAUAGAUGUAAUUGAUUUAACGGGAAGAAUAACAACAGCUCCGAUGAUGAAUUUGGUGUUUUUGGCAAUUGUUUUGGUGAGUCAAUUCACAACGGAUCAUUUGGCCCUCUGAUAUUCUCAGAGUAAGUAUCAAAACUUGAGUUUUUUGCAUAAAUUUUAGCUUUUCCAAUUCAAAUAGCAAGAAAUGUAUGUCUGUGUUAGUUUGUUGAUGGAAGCAACCAACUUGAAGCGGUUCCGUGAACGACUAUCUGAUGUUAAGGGUUACUAUGUUCCAAUGGUUAUAGAUGAGCUUUCAUGCAAGAGAGUAUUAACUACAAAACUUAUUUCUGGAAUUCUUAUUGAUAAGGUGGCCUUACUGAAUCAAGAAACUCGUAAUUAUGUCGGGACAAAGUUGUUAGAUUUCACAUUGAUGGAGUUAUUUGUAUUCCGAUUUAUGCAGGCGAGCCCUUAAUUAUUGCAUGUCAAUCACUAGUUGUAGGAUGAAGGCCUACUUAUCAGCUAAUUGGAAGUAAUAUAACUCAAUUAAAUUUUAAUUUUUAAGCUUAUUUGUCUUCUUCAAAGGGUUUAGAAUCGGUGCCUGAGCAGCGAGAGCAGGAGCAACCAGUCAAUUUAGACUCCAUUUGGUGAAAUUGUAAAGUUGAACAAACUAAAAUCUUUUUAUUUUUGUUUGAUUAUGUUCAUGAAAAUCAUACAAAGAUGGUUUUACAAAUGCAAAAUGUGAAACAUUAAUUGUUUGAUAAGAUGGGUAGUUAGUUAUGUAAAAUGUAAACAUUUGCCGAUUUUGUGUUGAUUUUAUUUUAAUUUUUGGUUGAGAUUUUGUUGA